ACGCCAUAACGCCAUGACUCAUUCACACCCCCUCUUGCCUCACCUUUUCUGAUGUGUUUCAUUUUCAAAACAAAACGUGCAUGUGCAUCAUUUUUUUUAGUUUUUUUUCGGUGAAAAAAUGAUUAAAACACUUAUAAUUUGAUGAACGAAUGCAGUCAGAAUGAUGUUGAAGGUAUCUUUUCAUACUUCGCAGUCAAUCAGUUUAUAGAUCACCAUUAAUGUAGUCAAAAUUACUGUCAACUUCAAAAUUAUUCUAAAUCGUACGCUAAAGUUGAGUUGAAUAGUCGCAGCAGGACAUCAGACAAGACUAGAAGAUGAGAACCAACUAACCAAGUACACGUACAUAAACCAGCUCAUCUUUAUCGUCCUUUCAACUUUUAUUAGCAAAUUUCUGUACAGUUUCACUUGACGAAAUGAUCUCAUCGUAAGUUACCGUAGAUCAUUAUUCAUUUUCAAGAGUGGCUUUUUCUUAAACAACGGAUGUGAAAAAUACUCUUGAGAACCAUCGCCAUCGCCAUCGCUACCAUAGUUGAAUGAUCCUCAAUAGCUGCACCCGCACUUGAGUAAUCAUAUUGUAUAGUUAGUCCUGUGUACGUGGGCACUGGAGCAAGACAUCAUUCGUGAUCGAUAUUAUUUACCCCUAUUACUACAUGGAUCAUCGUUACCAUGGAGUACAGUCAACGGUGGAAUAUCAACUCAUAUACCAUAUAGACAAGUACGUUAGAAUACAAUUUUACCUAGGUACGAGGAACUAGGAAGAUGAAAUGUUCGGUAUUCGAACGAAUUGUAGAGUCAUAUAUAUUCAAUGACUCACUUACGUAAAAGGCUUUUAGACAAACAUAUUUCGUAUGAUAUAUGAUACUAAU